rnacentral:rRNA from 1 species
GACGAACGCUGGCGGCGCGCCUAACACAUGCAAGUCGAACGAGAGAGAAGGAGCUUGCUUCUUCGAUCGAGUGGCGAACGGGUGAGUAACGCGUGAGGAACCUGCCUCAAAGAGGGGGACAACAGUUGGAAACGACUGCUAAUACCGCAUAAGCCCACGGGUCGGCAUCGACCAGAGGGAAAAGGAGUGAUCCGCUUUGAGAUGGCCUCGCGUCCGAUUAGCUAGUUGGUGAGGUAAUGGCCCACCAAGGCGACGAUCGGUAGCCGGACUGAGAGGUUGAACGGCCACAUUGGGACUGAGACACGGCCCAGACUCCUACGGGAGGCAGCAGUGGGGAAUAUUGCACAAUGGGGGAAACCCUGAUGCAGCGACGCCGCGUGGAGGAAGAAGGUCUUCGGAUUGUAAACUCCUGUUGUUGAGGAAGAUAAUGACGGUACUCAACAAGGAAGUGACGGCUAACUACGUGCCAGCCGCCGCGGUAA